ACGAACGCUGGCGGCGUGCCUAACACAUGCAAGUCGAACGAGGUCCAUGCAGUGGCAACACUGCGGAAGACCUAGUGGCGAACGGGUGAGUAACACGUGAGGAACUUGCCCCGGAGACCGGGAUAACCCUCCGAAAGGAGAGCUAAUACCGGAUGUCCUCCCCGAGUCGCAUGGCUUGGUGAGGAAAUGGAUUCCGCUCCGGGAGAGCCUCGCGGCCUAUCAGCUAGUUGGUGGGGUAACGGCCCACCAAGGCGUCGACGGGUAGCUGGUCUGAGAGGACGAUCAGCCACACUGGGACUGAGACACGGCCCAGACUCCUACGGGAGGCAGCAGUGGGGAAUCUUGCGCAAUGGGCGAAAGCCUGACGCAGCAACGCCGCGUGCGGGAUGACGGCCCUCGGGUUGUAAACCGCUUUCAGUGGGGACGAACCACGACGGUACCCACAGAGGACGCCCCGGCCAACUACG
rnacentral:rRNA from 1 species